rnacentral:rRNA from 1 species
GACGAACGCUGGCGGCGUGCUUAACACAUGCAAGUCGAACGGAAAGGCCGUGCUUUUGUGGGGUGCUCGAGUGGCGAACGGGGGAGUAACACGUGAGUAACCUGCCCUUGACUUUGGGAUAACUUCAUGAAACUGGGGCUCAUACCGGAUAGGAGCUCCUGCUGCAUGGUGGGGGUUGGAAAGUUUCGGCGGUUGGGGAUGGACUCGCUGCUUAUCAGCUUGUUGGUUGGGUAGUGGCAUACCAAGGCUUUGAAGGGUAGCCGGCCUGGGCGGGGUACCGGACCACAUGGGGCUGGAAUGAGGCCCAGACCACCAUCGGAGGGAAGAGGGGGGAAGAGUGCCACAUGGGAGGAAGCCUGAUGCAGCAACGCCGCGUGCGGGAUGACGGCCUUCGGGUUGUAAACCGCUUUCGCCUGUGACGAAGCGUGAGUGACGGUAAUGGGUAAAGAAGCACCGGCUAACUACGUG